rnacentral:rRNA from 1 species
UACGUAGGGCGCAAGCGUUAUCCGGAAUUAUUGGGCGUAAAGAGCUCGUAGGCGGUUUGUCGCGUCUGCUGUGAAAACCUAAGGCUCAACCUUGGGCUUGCAGUGGGUACGGGCAGACUAGAGUGCGGUAGGGGUGACUGGAAUUCCUGGUGUAGCGGUGAAAUGCGCAGAUAUCAGGAGGAACACCCGGUGGGCGAAGGCGGGGUCUCUGGGCCGAUACUGACGCUGGAGGAGCGAAA